rnacentral:lncRNA from 1 species
CUCAGGGUCAUUACACUCUAGAAACUUCUCCAUUCAGAAAGUCGAUUGCAGAUUGCUGUCACAACCAGAUCUGCUGCACAAAUAUGCUGAGGGCAAGAUCUUACAAAUUCUUCAUUUCCAAGUUCUUGGGAGUGGCUCAUGGCUGUCUUGCCAAUGAGGGAUCACUUGUGCUACAAAGGAUGUGAGUCUGUUAAAGCCUAAGUUAUUGUCUGUUAUAUCUUUAUUAGAGAAAGAAUGAGAGGAACUGAAGUUUGUGUCUCAGCUUGGAAAGUCAGUUAGGUGAUUCCAUUCUUCACAGAAUUUGCACUGGUUCCAGCCAAAUGUCCCGGAGCCUCAAGAAAGGACUCAGAGAAAUUGGCUCUUGCUACAGGACACACAAAUUGAAUACUUGAGUCAAUCAUCCAAUGAUUUGUCACAAUGCUGAACACACACCAGAGCCUUUGCUAAAGCUUUGCUUUGUCAGCCUCUACUGUGAAAGGAGCUGUUGAGGGUAACUACACUGUUACUGCUGUUAAUAGUGCCUUCUGGAAAAAUAAGGAUGAUGCCUCUCAGCUCUCCCAAGCUUCCAUCCCUGAGAUGGAGCUGGAUUUUGUGAAGAACCCAGGAGAAUGGCCCAAUAACACAUGUGUAACCUGCUCCUGAAGCAACACUCAUGCAUCCUGAGUCUCACAGUGUCUCUCCUUCAUGCCAAGCCAAAAUGCUCU